GCUACGGGUGGCAGCAGUGGGGAAUAUUGGGCAAUGGGCGCAAGCCUGACCCAGCAACGCCGCGUGAAGGAAGAAGGCUUGCGGGUUGUAAACUUCUUUUGUCAGGGAAGAGUAUAAGACGGUACCUGACGAAUAAGCCACGGCUAACUACGCGCCAGCAGACGCUGUAAUACGUAGGUGGCAAGCGUUGUCCGGAUUUAGUGGGUGUAAAGUGCGUGUAGCCGGGUUGACAAGUCAGUUGUUAAAUCCUGCGGCUUAACCGGAGAACUGCAUUUGAAACUGUUGAUCUUGAGUACUGGAGAGGCAGACGGAAUUCCUAGUGUAGCGGUGAAAUGCGUAGAUAUUAGGAGGAACACCAGUGGCGAAGGCGCUCUGCUGGACAGCAACUGACGGUGAGGCGCGAAAGCGUGGGGAGCAAACGGGAUUAGAUACCCUGGUAGUC
rnacentral:rRNA from 1 species